AACGCACAUUGCGCCCCUUGGCAUUCCAUGGGGCAUGCCUGUUCGAGCGUCAUCUAAACCCUCAAGCCCCCGGCUUGGUGUUGGGUGUCUGUCCCCGCUCCCCGCGCGGACUCACCCCAAAUGCAUUGGCAGCCGCCUCUCGGCUUCUUGCGCAGCACAGUGCGCAGCGAGGCGAGGUGAGGCGUGCGUCCAGCAAGCAACCACCCAAGUUUGACCUCGGAUCAGGUAGGGAUACCCGCUGAACUUAA
rnacentral:misc_RNA from 1 species